GAAAUAAGCUCCAGGAGCACAGAGGCGAAGUAUGACCUGGUCAUUGUUUCACCCCUGUGCCUCACAGGGUACCUGACACACAAUAGGUGCCAAUGUUUGUUAAAUGAAUGAAUGAACAGAUGUGGAUGUCAAGACUAGAAUAAUCCUCACAUAUCAUUCAGGAAUCACCUAUGCCCAGGCCUCAAUCCCAGACCAAUUUUUAUCAACAUUUCUGAGGAUGAGGUUCAGCAUUCAGGAUUUCUCCAAGCUCUCCCCAGGUGGUGGCAGCAAGUUGACCAGUGGAACAGCAAAGGAACAACAGAGGAGCCCAGCUGAGGAAGCUGCAGUGAGCUAGGGCUGCCCUCUUUGCUCCUGCUCCUCCUCUUCUAGCUCUUGUCUUCCCCUACCCACCCACCUCCCAGUCAUCUCUUUCUCUUUCCUUUCCUGCCCUCUCCAUGUAUCUGCAUCAAUCACAAGUCUUUCAAAGGCAAACCUAUUAUUUCUUCCUACCCAUGGAAUCCACCCACCUCCCUCCCAUUCUAGUUUGGCACCCCAGAGCUUCUAAGUGUGUUGUCACAAUGUGAGCAAUCAGAAGUGGCUCCUGAAAUGAAAAAGGGGGGAAGCCAGGUGCAGUGGCUCAUGCCUAUAAUCCCAGCACUUUGGGAGACCAAGGCAGGUGGAUCAUCUGAGGUCAGGAGUUCAAGACCAGCUUGGCCAACAUGGUGAAGCCCUGUCUCUACUAAAAAUAUAAAAAUUAGCUGGGCGUGGUGGUGCAGGCCUGUAAUCCCAGCUGUUGGGGAGGCUGAGGGAAGAGAACGGCUUGAACCUGGGAGGCAGAGGUUGCAGUGAGCUGAGAUUGUGCCACUGCACUCCAGUCUGGGCGACAGAAUGAGACUGUGUUACAAAGAAAGGAAGAAGGAAGGAAGGAAGGAAGGACAGAAAGGAAGGAAGGAAGGAAGGAAGGAAGGAAGGAAGGAAGGAAAGGAAGGAGCCGGGGGUGGUGGUUCAUGCCUGUAAUUCCAGCACUUUGGGAGGCCAAGGCGGACGGAUCAGGAGGUCAGUUCGAGACCAGCCUGACCAACAUGGUGAAACCCUGUCUCUACUAAAAAUCCAAAAAUUAGCCAGGCGUGGUGGUGCACGCCUGUAAUCCUAGCUACUCAGGAGGCUGGGGCAGGAGAAUCACUUGAACCUGGGAGGCAGAGGUUGCAGUGAGCCGAUCGCGCCAUGCACUCCAACCUAGGUUACAGAGCAAGACUCCGUCGAAAGAAGAAAGAAGAAAGGAAGGAAGGAAGGAAAGAAGGAAGGAAGGAAGGAAGGAAAAGAAGGGGAAAUAAAAAGGGAAGAAAUAAGGCUGUAGGUGAUUCUCUUCCUCUCCAAAAUUGCAUGGAGUCUUGUGGGUGCUGGGCCACGUAUCCAUCUUUAAAAGUGGCUAUUUCCUCAGCCUUCUUCAAACAGGGUAACUGGAUAAGAGCUAGAUAUGAGGAUGAGUAGAAUUUGGGGGCUAGAAGCAGAGCUGAGGCCUAGAACAAAGAGGUAACAUGUAGGAGUCUCACAGCCAGAGGACUCCUCCUGGCCCCAGUACCCACUAAGCACUUGACUUAGAAACGAUCGUGUAUAGCCACCUUGUUUUGCAGAUUGGAAAACCGAGGUCUAGAGAUGCCAAUGACUUGUCCAAGGUCAUGUAGUUUGCUAGCCAAAGACUAGGACUACAGCCCAGAACUCCUGACUGCCUUUUCCAGGAAUACUUCUGCUCCCUCAGCCUUCCUCAAAGUGACUGUCAGUUUAAUUUUAUAAGAUGGUGGGGCUUGUGGUAAGGACUCUGAAGAGAAAAUGUCAAAAGAAUAGACCAAAUGAUGGAAACAGGAGAUUAUCAAGCCUCAGCAUUCUCUCCGACUUUCCCUAGCCCUUUUGCCACCUCCAUAGCCUGCCUGUCUUCCUACUCCCUGGAACGUAAGGCUGCCCUGGGGACAGCCUCCCAGGGUUGGCUCUGGAGCUCCUGCUCGUCCUCCUCUGUAGCCACUUCUCUGGGGCAUCUGUCCGCACACGUCUUCAGCUCCCAUGACACACAGACAUGCCCGCAUCUCGAGCUCUAGCCCUCGACUUCACCUUCACAUUUGUCUUUCUAUAGGAUAUUUCCAUAUGUAAAUAUGCCUCGCUCAGCCAGAAAUCAAAAUUGGAAUUCAUCUUCCCUAUGCAAAGCUACAGCCUUUUCCUACCCCCUGUUUCUUUCAGUGCUUCCAUAGUCCACCAAUCCUCCCGACUCAAAACUUCCAUGUCACCAGAGGCUGGGGGAGAAGGAAAUGGGGUUGGGGGGUGGUUAGUGUUUAAUGGGUAUACAGUGCCAGUUUGGGAUGAUGACAAAGUUCUUGAGAAGGAUGGUGGUGAUGGUUACACAACAAUGUGACCAUAAUUAAUGGCAUUGGACUGUACAUUUGUAAUGGGUGAAAAUGGUAAAUUCUAUGUUAUGUCUAUUUCACCACAAUUAAAAAAAACAAAAACAAAAACCCAAACCCAAAACUCAUGUCAUCCUUGACUUGUGGCUACCUUGCUGUCUUCUCCCCAGCUUACUUUGCCACCAAGUAAUUCUGAUUUUUCACCUAGUGGAGAUUCCUCAAACUUUCCCAUACUCCAGCACCAAGAGGGAUUUGUUAAGAGUUAUCAAUUCCCCAGUCCUACUCGGCUCUUUGGUGUAGGGGUGGAGCAUGGAAUCCACAUUUUAAACUUCCCAACAAACCUGAUGUGGGUGGACUGCAGACUGCACUUGGAGAAAUAAAUACUGCCUCUCAGUGUCUUUUGGCUUUGUCCCUUCCUCUUCCUUCUACUACCCCUAUCCCUGCCCCAGCUGGCCCUCAUCACCUCACACCUGGAUUACAGCAACAGCUGGCCCAUCACUAGCCUUUCCCUAUUCCAGCCUCUCCAGCUGCCAGGACCCAUCUUCUACAAAUAUCUUUUGCAUCACAUCACUUCCCUGCUCAGAAGCCUACCAUGGCUCCCUGAGACCUCUUAGAUUCUAUCUAAAGUCACUUGGCUGGGAGCCAGCCAAGUGAGCCUCCCACCCUCCCGCUUACCUUCUUCUCUGUUCACUGCCACCCCUCCCGUGCUCAUUAGUCAUUUAUUUUCCUUGUGUUAGUCCCUCUGCUAGUUUGGGGUGGUCUUUCUUCUAUUUCCCCCUUCCCACCAUGAGCCCUGGAACACUUCUGGUUACGUUGGAGGAAUUAUGAAAACUGUUCAGAUUCUCUAUCCUGCUUCUCAGUGCAUUAAUCUUGCCUCCCCCCAAUGUGGGCUUUGCCAUUCACCAGCUGUAUGACUUUGGGCAAGUUGCUUAACCUCUCUGUGCCGUAGUGUUUUCAUGUUCUCAUGUGUAGAAUGGUGAUCUCAAUAGGGCAUACCUCAUAUGUCUGUGGACAGGAUUAAGAGUCAACAGAUGUAAAAAGUCUUAUGACGGUUUCUAGCGUAAAGUAAGUGCCAUGUAAGUGUUAGCUAUUAUUAGUAAUUAGUAUGAUCACCUCCUCUUUCAGCCAGCUCAUCUCUGGAAACCAUGUCUGCUUGGAAUACCUAACUGAUCGAGUUCUCUGUUAAACCUUGCCUGAUCUUGUGGAGGCGGUUAAGUAUUAAGUGUUUGGGUUUCAACAAGCUCCUGUACAUGAGAUAACCUGAGGAACUGGGCCGUCUACAAAGCUGUAAUUAUGUCCAUUAAUUUCUAACCAACUAGGAGGAGAGGUGCUGAGAGUUGAAAGCAAGAUUUUCCAGCAUAAAUAGGAUUGAUGAUGUGGAUGAUGUGAGG
rnacentral:lncRNA from 10 species